rnacentral:lncRNA from 1 species
GUGAAGACAGAGGGACUCUUUCACCAGAGGUAAAAGGAAACCCACAGACAAUGGCCCCAGCUGAAGGAAGGAAGAGGCCAAGAGAGACAGCAGAGAUUCGUAAAACGGAGUGGAUCUCACAGCAGAGGAGAGCGUACACACACUGACACUCAUACGCACACACACACAGAGUUUUGGGAGUGUAGUUAAUGGAGCACAUUGCUGCAGAUCUAGAAUGGGAUCCUGCACAGAGAGAGAGAAGCUCCACUUAAGUCUCAAGGAGAAAGUGGUGGCAUUAUGAGCGGCCCAGGGAGCCGGCAGUGCUGCCCCAGAAAGGAAGGUUGGUGACCUUCCCUGGCCAUCCUGAAGGCUGCUUGCCGUGACAGCGGGGACCAGGUCACGCGGCUGGGCGGCAGCCUGCUGGGAAGGUCCCCAGACGCCCUUCCUCCCCGCUCUGUCGUGUCUCAGGAAGUUCUGAAGAGCAGGUUCCUGUUUUCUGAGAACACUCCUGUUUUCCGGGUGAGCUGCGGUUCUCGGCCUUAGAGGACUUCACAGCUCAGCCAUGAAAGCUUUUUUCCAGGGGCCUCAUAUCUAAACAAGGCUUUCACAGAGGUUUUCAGAAGAUGCUGUACACAUGUGAUCCUAAUGAUUCUAAUGAUAACAACCCACCUGCACCAGUUAGCAAUGACGUUUGGUGAAAUCAGAGGAGGGCAAGCUGGAGCUCCGUGUGGCAGUCCUCCAAAUCAUGAGGAACCCAGGUUAUGCCUAGACUUCCGCUCUACCGUCUUCAUGCUCCUGCUUACACUGGCCGCUGCAGUGCCAAACAUCACACCCAUGUUCUAG